rnacentral:rRNA from 1 species
CCUACGGGUGGCAGCAGUGGGGAAUAUUGGACAAUGGGCGAAAGCCUGAUCCAGCCAUGCCGCGUGUGUGAAGAAGGCCUUCGGGUUGUAAAGCACUUUCAGUGGGGAAGAAAGCCUUGGGGCUAAUACCCUCGAGGAAGGACAUCACCCACAGAAGAAGCACCGGCUAACUCCGUGCCAGCAGCCGCGGUAAUACGGAGGGUGCGAGCGUUAAUCGGAAUUACUGGGCGUAAAGCGCGCGUAGGCGGUCUGAUAAGCCGGUUGUGAAAGCCCCGGGCUCAACCUGGGAACGGCAUCCGGAACUGUCAGGCUAGAGUGCAGGAGAGGAAGGUAGAAUUCCCGGUGUAGCGGUGAAAUGCGUAGAGAUCGGGAGGAAUACCAGUGGCGAAGGCGGCCUUCUGGACUGACACUGACGCUGAGGUGCGAAAGUGUGGGUAGCAAACAGGAUUAGAUACCCGGGUAGUC